GGAAUAUUGGGCAAUGGGCGCAAGCCUGACCCAGCAACGCCGCGUGAAGGAAGAAGGCUUUCGGGUUGUAAACUUCUUUUCUCAGGGACGAAGCAAGUGGCGGUACCUGAGGACUAAGCCACGGCUAACUACGUGCCAGCAGCCGCGGUAAUACGUAGGUGGCAAGCGUUAUCCGGAUUUACUGGGUGUAAAGGGCGUGUAGGCGGGAAAGCAAGUCAGAUGUGAAAACCACGGGCUCAACCUGUGGCCUGCAUUUGAAACUGUUUUUCUUGAGUACUGGAGAGGCAGACGGAAUUCCUCGUGUAGCGGUGAAAUGCGUAGAUAUGAGGAGGAACACCAGUGGCGAAGGCGGUCUGCUGGACAGCAACUGACGCUGAGACGCGAAAGCGUGGGGAGCAAACA
rnacentral:rRNA from 1 species